rnacentral:lncRNA from 1 species
AACCAAUCCUUUUAUGGCUCACCUUACUUUCCCGAAAAAUACACCUCAAUCUUUGUCAUUUGACUGCAAUUUCUUCAAAAUUUUUACUCAUGAUUCAUGACACAGAGAUAGUACACAAAGUUCCAUUCUGUCUGGGAUGUAAGACCAUUAAGGUAUUGUAAAGCACCAAGACUGUGCUUUUGCAAUUUCCCUAUUUCAGAAUACAUGUUAAGCAACAGGGUUGCUUUAAAACAUAUGUGCUCUGAGCAAGACUCUGGGCCAGGGUCUUUCCUGAUUAUUCUCUUGAGUACUUACCCCAGUUCUUUGAGUUAGACACUACCGCCCUCAUUUUUAUGAUGAGUUAAGACAGCAAGUAACUUGUCUAA